CAAAACAAAAAAUGCCUAACAGAGAAGGGAAAUUCCCAACAAGUAAUAGAUAGUGAAGCAACCAUUCUUGAACACCGAAACAGCUUGAUACAGUUUCAUUGUAAAAAGUAAUUAAACACACUGCAAAAAUGCAAGCAUCAGUUGCAUUAACAAGAGCAAGGGAUCUUGACAAGAAGAAGCGGUACACAGAAGCGGUAAAAUAUUAUCAGGAAGGGAUACAGCUGUUACACAACGAUUUAAAAAUAGAACCCUCCGCCGACGUUGUAGGCGAAACAUGUACCAGUACACACUCACCAUCUGCUACUGCUGGUGGUGGUGGAAAGGAGUUAGACUGGCACUGUGCCUAGAUGAUGAUGGUACCGACAGUGCCUGUUCUGACGUAAAGGUCUUAUACAUAAAGAAAAAAAUGUCCCUAAACUUUAAUUGGAUGCAGUCAAGACCUCGUAAUAAUGAAGAUUCUGUUCUGUGUUUGGAAUGGCGAUUCUGGGAAUAGUCCAGUCGGCCGGGUACUUGAUCAGCUGAUCGCCACUAACUUCAAUGAAGGAUAUAUCUCUUUGCUAUAGACAUUGAAAUGCUAAUGCAUAUACAGUAGGUGUGUCAGUUGAAUGAACUGGACAAUACAGCAUAUAUAAUACACAGUAAUUCAAAUUAGAUGAAAACAAAUAUUCUGCAAAUCAUGGAAGGUGAUUUGAUAAUGAAAAGUGAUAGACUUGCCACCUGGUAGAGAAGCACCAAAUCCUGUAGACCAAACCAAGUACUGUUUUUAUUUUAAUCAUAUGAUAAUUUAUUCAUAACCCUUCCUCUAUAGUAAAUGUCUGUAAAUCAGUGAAAACCAUUUUUUUUUUUUGCUGAAGCACUGAAAUGUAUCAUUAUGUAUAUGAUAAAACAUUAUAUGAUCAAGAAAUAAAGUUUGAAAUAUAGAAUCAUUAUAUCUACAAUCAUUUUUAAAUACCAUGACAGCAGUGUAUAUUAAUCCAAAUUCAGUGCUUAGUUUUAAUUGUGUGUGAAGUAAUAAUAAACAGUAUUCAUAAGUAAAUUGUUUAUUCAUGCAGUGUAGCCUCUUUUUACAGAUUAGAUAUAAUUAUUAAUAUAUUGCAAAAUAAAUCUGAUAGCUAUGUAGAUCAUAAUUACAUGGAUUGAUCAUGUUUUCCUUUUUUGUGUAUUUGUUUUAUGUAUGACCAAAUAAUAAUAGAUUGUUAAUAUUUAUUUUGUCUAGUGUUAUCCAUUUUUAAACUGAGUUGCAUACUUACCCACUGUGCAAGAGUAAUAUAUUUAUUUUUAAAAAAACAUUUGAUACUGAUUGCUAAGAUGAGAGAGAUAAAAUCAAUACUGUAGGCGUAUCUUUCUCAAAAUAAUAAUGAUCAGACCGAGGUGAAGCACAUUUAGCAUGAAUUUAUGCAAGGUGUAACCAAUAGCGUGCUUAAAUUAUCCAGGUGGUUAGCCAAUCAGGAGCGUUUUAAUAAUAACAUGUGGCCC